AGUGAACGCUGGCGGUAGGCCUAACACAUGCAAGUCGAACGGCAGCACAGUAAGAGCUUGCUCUUACGGGUGGCGAGUGGUGGACGGGUGAGGAAUACAUCGGAAUCUACUUUUUCGUGGGGGAUAACGUAGGGAAACUUACGCUAAUACCGCAUACGACCUACGGGUGAAAGCAGGGGAUCUUCGGACCUUGCGCGAUUGAAUGAGCCGAUGUCGGAUUAGCUAGUUGGCGGGGUAAAGGCCCACCAAGGCGACGAUCCGUAGCUGGUCUGAGAGGAUGAUCAGCCACACUGGAACUGAGACACGGUCCAGACUCCUACGGGAGGCAGCAGUGUGGAAUAUUGGACAAUGGGCGCAAGCCUGAUCCAGCCAUACCGCGUGGGUGAAGAAGGCCUUCGGGUUGUAAAGCCCUUUUGUUGGGAAAGAAAAGCAGCAGGUUAAUACCCCGCUGUUCUGACGGUACCCAAAGAAUAAGCACCGGCUAACUUCGUG
rnacentral:rRNA from 1 species